UCGGGAAUUUUGGGCAAUGGGCGAAAGCCUGACCCAGCAACGCCGCGUGAAGGAUGAAGUAUUUCGGUAUGUAAACUUCGAAAGAAUGGGAAGAAUCAAUGACGGUACCAUUUAUAAGGUCCGGCUAACUACGUGCCAGCAGCCGCGGUAAUACGUAGGGACCAAGCGUUGUUCGGAUUUACUGGGCGUAAAGGGCGCGUAGGCGGCUUUGUAAGUCACUUGUGAAAUCUCCGGGCUUAACUCGGAACGGCCAAGUGAUACUGCAAAGCUAGAGUGCAGAAGGGGCAAUCGGAAUUCUUGGUGUAGCGGUGAAAUGCGUAGAUAUCAAGAGGAACACCUGAGGUGAAGACGGGUUGCUGGGCUGACACUGACGCUGAGGCGCGAAAGCCAGGGGAGCAAACGGGAUUAGAUACCCAUGUAGUCCCUGAGCGGGCUGGCAAGGCGCAU
rnacentral:rRNA from 1 species